rnacentral:rRNA from 1 species
UACGGAGGAUCCGAGCGUUAUCCGGAUUUAUUGGGUUUAAAGGGUGCGCAGGCGGAAGAUUAAGUCGGUGGUGAAAUUUUGCAGCUCAACUGUAAAAGUGCCAUUGAUACUGGUUUUCUUGAGUGUGGAUGAAGUAGGCGGAAUUUGUGGUGUAGCGGUGAAAUGCUUAGAUAUCACGAGGAACUCCGAUUGCGCAGGCAGCUUACUAAACCACUACUGACGCUCAGGCACGAAGGCGUGGGGAUCAAACAGGAUUAGAUACCCCCGUA